rnacentral:rRNA from 1 species
GAUAAAACGCUGGUCGGCGCCACGAGUAAGACAUGCGAAGUCGAACGGACUUAAUCGAAAUAGUUUAUAGUUUUGAAAGGCGGUUAGUGGCGGACUGGUGAGUAACGCGUAAGGAACCUACCUAUUAGAGGGGAAUAACAGUGAGAAAUCAUUGCUAAUACCGCAUAUGCCAUAGAUAUCACAUGAUAACAGUGGGAAAGGAGCAAUCCGCUAAUAGAUGGCCUUGCGUCUGAUUAGAUAGUUGGUGGGGUAACAGCCUACCAAGUCGACGAUCAGUAGCCGGACUGAGAGGUUGAACGGCCACAUUGGGACUGAGAUACGGCCCAG